CUUUCAGGAGACACCUGUGUCAGGCACGACGUGGUGAACUUUUAAAAACGGAUUCAGUAGUACCAAAAUACUCAUAAUGUGCAGACAGACAAAAGAACUGGAAGGAGUCGUGUUUUCAGACACAGGAAGCUUUUCACGUGCUCCACCUGGACCUCAUCUCUCAGCCUCACACUCCGAUCUUCAGCAGCCCCCGCUAUGCGCCCGAGUCUUGGGACGUCAUCCCGGAGCUCCUAGCCUGCCCGGGAGGCAGAGCCAUCAGGUAAGAGACGGUCACAAUGACAGCAACACAAUCCCGCUUGGGUUCUCUGUACAGAGUUUUCCUUUUAAAAUACCUUUUCCACUGAUGUUAUUUAAAAAUAACAACCUCAGAGUAGACUUCUGAUCUCUACCACAGGGCAGGUACAUCCCUCCCUUUUUAUGAGUAAUUCCUGCAGGGGUUAUAGCACGGCCUCCAGGUCACACGGGCUACACAAAAACACUUAGCCCAGUUUUCUAACUCCCAGGGAGUGAAGGAAUCACUAUUUUAAAAGGUGGCAAGCUUUUUUCUCCUUUACUCAGAUUUAACUCUGAUAGAAACUGACAGGCUCAAUCUUGGUUAAUUUUUUUUUUUUAAACACGAGAACAAGGUUCAAGAAAUUCAUCUUCAGGUGUCAGAGAGACGAAAAGAACCCAAUAGCUUUUAUCUUCAAGUCCUACAUUUAUGCAUCUCGUAAUGAGGGUGAUGGCUGGUUCCCUUACAACGGAGGGCUUCAUGCCUAGUGAACAACGGACCUGAAUUUAUAUCAGCCAUAAAGCCUUCCAGACGUGACGGUCACGCUAACAUCCUGACAUGAGGCAAUCUGCAGAGAGAUGGAAAGUGUGCUUGGCUAGAGGUUAGUGCUGCCUCUCUCUAUUUUCUUCCCUUGUACCAACUGAUUUCAGACUGAGGAACUUGAAGACAGAGUGACACUAUGAGCUCAUAUAACUCUCCUCAGCUCUAAACUCGGCCACAGCAGAUGUGUUUUUAAGAAACUAAUAGACUGAAAAUGACAUUUACAGACGAAAUGCUGUGACGACUGAGAUUCGUUUCAAAAUAAUCAGGGGAAGAGGAAAAGUGGGUGGGAGGAGACAUAAAACAAAGAUUGGCUAAGGGCUGAUAGUUAUUGAGGCUGCAUGGAUAUUAUAAUAUUGGGGCAUCCAGAAAUAUUACAUGAUGCUUUCUACUUUUGUAUAUGUUGAAAGGUUUUCAUAGUAAAAAGAAAAAUCAUACCAAGAGACCAGCAACAUUUAUCAAAGAAGGCUGACUUAGGUAUAAGGAUGGUCAAGAUACACUGUUAAGUGAACAAAAAAAGAUGUACAAAGGUAUAGAGAGUUUAUUUACAUAUACACACACACACCCCCUGAUAAAAAUAUAGAAAAUUUCUGGAAAAAUAAUAACCUCCAUAUGCUAUUCAAAACAAAAAUGUAUCACUUUUUAAUGAUGAGUUUUAGAUAACAAUUGUUUUCAUCCGAUGGGGGGGCAACAGGAGGAAAGGGCAUAGUCGGCUUGAAAAUGAGAUAAACAUCUCCAUGGGCCAGGAACAGAACAGAAACCAUAUUGGAGAUCAGGGCUAGAGCCAUGGCUGGAACCUGGAAGCAAGCAAAGGGCCAGAUGUUCACCCUCUGUGCAGCGUAGCAGGGACCAAACACCCCACGCACGGGGGAAAGUGGAAGCCAGGCUCAGUGAAACAGGGAGUGGGGGCUGCCUCGGGCACAGUCCUCGGUCUCUCCCCCUGUCCUCGUCCCUUCCUCCUCUGCUGCAACUAUACUGCAAUCUACAUUCGUCCCUCCCCCCAUCUUUGAUCCCCUGGUUUCCAAUAUUCUCUGGGAUAUUAAAAUGUUCUUCACUAUUGCGGACUAGUUAUUUUCUCUUUGUAAUACUGUCUGUUUCUGUUUUGCAAAUACCUUACAAUGUUUAGGGUAAAGCCAUAAAAACUGGUCUGUAUAGAUAAGACACUAUUAAUAAAUGUAUGAUGGUAAUUUCCGCAGAAGCGGGAAGGAGGGAAACACAGUACCAACACCCUAGCUAGCUGCGAGGAAGCCGGGAGAUAACAUAUCCAGCGUUUUUGUCUUCCAUAAUAGGAGGCAGGCUUCUAUGGCAGAGAAUUCCCAAAUUCUAGGAAAGGGGUUAAGAUGCUGAGAAGCCAAAAGAUGAGCAAUAAUUUUGCUAAGUUGUCAGCAGCCCCAACCGUACAUAUAAGGAAACUGAGGCUGAGGUUAAGUGACUUCCCUAGGUUCACAGAACUUAUCAGUGGCCAAGCUGGGACUGUGGAUAACGCUGCCACCACCACCCAGGAGUGCUGCUCGUGCUAGGCACCAUAAAUACAUUAUCUGAUUCAAUCUCCCUCAACUCUGCCACAUAUAGUGUUAUAAUCUCCAUUUCUCAUGAGCUAAAGAGACUAAGGCUCAGAGACGUCAAGAGACUUGCCCAAGGUCACACAGCAACUGAGUGGUAGAGGUAGUCAGUCCACACCCUCCCUUCUUCCCUCUGUGCUGGCGCUCACUCCCUCCCCAACACUCCCCUGGGAGCCCAGCACCAGUCCUUGGAGUGGGAUGACGCAGCCUGCAGAGAAGCUUUCCUUCCGAGCGUCUGGAAGAACCCGAGGCUGGCACAGCACCAUCAGCAAAUAAAACCAUGUGACUUAAAAAGGUGAACGAGCGGACAUGAUUAAAAUACUUAACACAAAAGCGAAUUCCCGCCUGGUGGCAUGUUAUCAGCAGCUGACAGGAAUAGCCUGCCGCUUCCUCCUCAGGGUGGGCCGGGGCUCACACAGCACACGGCUGCCCGCAGAGCCUGGGGAGAAUGAAACCGGAAGCCUAUGCCGCCACCAACAAGCUCCCAUUCAGAGGAUCCUCAGGCGGCCAGCUCCACAAAGUGACCAUAACAAAGGGCCACAGCCCACAUACGCACACACUCACACACAUAUGCACACUCUCACACACUCACAUACACACACACUCACACAUACGCACACUCUCUCACACACUCUCACACACACACACACUCUCUCCCUCUCCCUCUCCCUCUCUCUCUCUCCAUCACUCCAGGGUCAGCAGGAGCCCUGAAGCCUGAAGCCAAGCCAUGACCAGGCCUCCUGGUCCCAGUGGCCUCCCCAAAUGACCCAGUCCACAGUUGGGCUUCCUAACUCUACAGAGUGGUGACCUCAAGCCUGGAGCCUCACAGAGACCUUGAGGGCUGCCUCCCACCCCCUCCCUCUCUUACCCUGGUUUCCCUGCAAGCUCCCCUUCCGUCCCCUUUGUUCCUGUUCACUCCAGGAUCUUGUAGGAGAGCCAGAUCACCUGCUGCUGCUAAAAAGGGAAGUUUUACAAUCGUGGGUAGAGGUGGGCAGCCAGAUUUAGGAAAAAAGCGGGAUAUCUGUUAAAAUUUAAAUUUCAGGGUCAGGUGUGGUGGCU
rnacentral:lncRNA from 1 species